GCCGCGAGAGCUCAGUCGGUAGAUCAUCUGCCCAAUAGGCCGAGCGUUACUGGUUCGAUUCCAGCUCGCGGCC
rnacentral:tRNA from 1 species